rnacentral:rRNA from 1 species
AGUGAACGCUGGCGGUAGGCCUAACACAUGCAAGUCGAACGGCAGCACAGUAAGAGCUUGCUCUUACGGGUGGCGAGUGGCGGACGGGUGAGGAAUACAUCGGAAUCUACUUUUUCGUGGGGGAUAACGUAGGGAAACUUACGCUAAUACCGCAUACGACCUACGGGUGAAAGCAGGGGAUCUUCGGACCUUGCGCGAUUGAAUGAGCCGAUGUCGGAUUAGCUAGUUGGCGGGGUAAAGGCCAACCAAGGCGACGAUCCGUAGCUGGUCUGAGAGGAUGCUCAGCCACACUGGAACUGAGACACGGUCCAGACUCCUACGGGAGGCAGCAGUGGGGAAUAUUGGACAAUGGGCGCAAGCCUGAUCCAGCCAUACCGCGUGGGUGAAGAAGGCCUUCGGGUUGUAAAGCCCUUUUGUUGGGAAAGAAAAGCAGCAGGUUAAUACCCCGCUGUUCUGACGGUACCCAAAGAAUAAGCACCGGCUAACUUCGUG